CGGGACGGGUGAGUAAUGUCUGGGAAACUGCCUGAUGGAGGGGGAUAACUACUGGAAACGGUAGCUAAUACCGCAUAACGUCGCAAGACAAAGAGGGGGACCUUCGGGCCUCUUGCCAUCGGAUGUGCCCAGAUGGGAUUAGCUAGUAGGUGGGGUAACGGCUCACCUAGGCGACGAUCCCUAGCUGGUCUGAGAGGAUGACCAGCCACACUGGAACUGAGACACGGUCCAG
rnacentral:rRNA from 1 species